GACGAACGCUGGCUGCGUGCUUAACACAUGCAAGUCGAACGGAAAGGCCCUGCUUUUGUGGGGUGCUCGAGUGGCGAACGGGUGAGUAACACGUGAGUAACCUGCCCUUGACUUUGGGAUAACUUCAGGAAACUGGGGCUAAUACCGGAUAGGAGCUCCUGCUGCAUGGUGGGGGUUGGAAAGUUUCGGCGGUUGGGGAUGGACUCGCGGCUUAUCAGCUUGUUGGUGGGGUAGUGGCUUACCAAGGCUUUGACGGGUAGCCGGCCUGAGAGGGUGACCGGCCACAUUGGGACUGAGAUACGGCCCAGGCUCCUACGGGAGGCAGCAGUGGGGAAUAUUGCACAAUGGGCGGAAGCCUGAUGCAGCAACGCCGCGUGCGGGAUGACGGCCUUCGGGUUGUAAACCGCUUUCGCCUGUGACGAAGCGUGAGUGACGGUAAUGGGUAAAGAAGCACCGGCUAACUACGUGCCAGCAGCCGCGGUGAUACGUAGGGUGCGAGCGUUGUCCGGAUUUAUUGGGCGUAAAGGGCUCGUAGGUGGUUGAUCGCGUCGGAAGUGUAAUCUUGGGGCUUAACCCUGAGCGUGCUUUCGAUACGGGUUGACUUGAGGAAGGUAGGGGAGAAUGGAAUUCCUGGUGGAGCGGUGGAAUGCGCAGAUAUCAGGAGGAACACCAGUGGCGAAGGCGGUUCUCUGGGCCUUUCCUGACGCUGAGGAGCGAAAGCGUGGGGAGCGAACAGGCUUAGAUACCCUGGUAGUCCACGCUGUAAACGGUGGGUACUAGGUGUGGGGUCCAUUCCACGGGUUCCGUGCCGUAGCUAACGCUUUAAGUACCCCGCCUGGGGAGUACGGCCGCAAGGCUAAAACUCAAAGGAAUUGACGGGGCCCCGCACAAGCGGCGGAGCAUGCGGAUUAAUUCGAUGCAACGCGUAGAACCUUACCUGGGUUUGACAUGGAUCGGGAGUGCUCAGAGAUGGGUGUGCCUCUUUUGGGGUCGGUUCACAGGUGGUGCAUGGCUGUCGUCAGCUCGUGUCGUGAGAUGUUGGGUUAAGUCCCGCAACGAGCGCAACCCUUGUUCACUGUUGCCAGCACGUUAUGGUGGGGACUCAGUGGAGACCGCCGGGGUCAACUCGGAGGAAGGUGGGGAUGACGUCAAGUCAUCAUGCCCCUUAUGUCCAGGGCUUCACGCAUGCUACAAUGGCUGGUACAGAGAGUGGCGAGCCUGUGAGGGUGAGCGAAUCUCGGAAAGCCGGUCUCAGUUCGGAUUGGGGUCUGCAACUCGACCUCAUGAAGUCGGAGUCGCUAGUAAUCGCAGAUCAGCAACGCUGCGGUGAAUACGUUCCCGGG
rnacentral:rRNA from 1 species